UCGAGUCAAGGCACCAAGUUUUAAUACAAUGCUCCAAAGCAGUCACAAGUGAAAAGCAUUCCUUUCAACCAAGUAGAGGCCACAUUUGCUUUAGAGAAACAUGAUUUAUAAGAAGUAGAGAGACAUUGCUGAAAUGAGGAUGUUGAGAUGGAUAGAUGGCAUGACGAUGAAGGAUAGAAUUAGAAAUGAAUGCAUUUGAAGGAACUUAGGAAUAGCCCCGAUAGAUAAUAAGAUAGGGAAAGUAGACUUAGAUAGUUUGGACAUGUGCAAUGAAGACCACAAACCACGGCGGUUAGUAAGGAGUGAGUUGGCUCGAAGGCUCUAAAAGGGCAAAGGGAAGGCCCAAAGGGGCGUGAUGGAGGUCGUAAGAAAAGACUUGAUGACCUAUGGUCAAAUUGAAGGUAGCCCUUGAUAGAGUGGAAUGGUAGAACAGGAUUCACAUAGUCAACCCAAUUAAUUGGGACAAGGCUUACAUGAUGAUGAUGAUGAGACAAUGUGGAUGAAACUAUUUAAAGGAGUAUGGUGCCCUCAAGACCUUGGUUCUCCUCCUGUGGGUACCCAUAUGCGCCAUCCACCAAGGGUUGCAAACUUAAAGAUCCAUUUCAAUCACCUUGAGUAAUACAACUUUAUUAAUAGGUAGGUGGCAAUAUGGAAGGGGUCUAGCAUAAUACUGACUUGAUAUGAAAAAAGAACAUAUGAAGGCAUUAUGGCAAUCUAAU